UGCGAAGUGUGCGGAUUACUUUUUUUUCCUGUGCACGGGGCGUGUUGUGGGGGUGCGGGGUGACUUAUAGGUUCGGGGGGAGGGAGGAAUUAGGGGGCUUGAAAUUCAGUUCCCUGUUUCUCUAUUUAUUUCUCAUUUGAAAUUAUGCAGAUUGACUCUCCUUUCCUUCCCUCCUAGGGGGCAAAUCCUCGAACGCGAACCUGAUCUCAUGUCACAGAAGCAACUUGCCAUGAAAUCCGCUAAUGCGCCGCGACUCGCCCACCAGGAUAAAUAACCCCAUCGUCCGUGUAAUCAGCCCGUUCCCAAUGAAGUCAUUUUCUUCGAAUGCACUCUCUGCUUGCCACACUGGAGGAAUCCAGCCCACAGAGGUUUCGGAAACCCAGUUUGAGUGAUUCCAGCCUAGACUGAAACCCUGCGAACCUCCCAGGAAAGAGAGCCCGGCCCGGGCCAAGCAGUCGGACACACACACACACACACACACACACACCCCGACGGUGUAGCUCUUCACAGGAUGGAAGGCUGGAUGCGGAUCUGGGAGGCUGUGGCUAAGCGAACCAGGAAGACUGUGAGGGAAACCAAUACAGCAGUGUCAUCUUGAAAGUUAUUUGGAAGAACAGGACCUGGAGUCUGGGUUUGAAUCAAAAAAUUAUGAGCAAGGGACAGAUUACCCAGUAUUUCUUUGGAGCCAGACAGAACUGAGACCUGCCCAGCUGAACCAGCUUGGUUUGGAUUAGGAAAUUAUUCUCAGACACAGUAGCACACACAUCCUCUGACAGCGAGCUCACUCCUGGGCAGUGGGCUUCUGGCUCUGCCACUGCUCUCCACAACCACCCUACAGGCCUCCUCCAGGUUUUGCCAGGCAAAUGAAACGAGCGGAACUCGAUAGUAAAUUAUUUUGUUCAGCUUUCUCUCUUUUUAUGAAAAUAAAAGGCAACACUUUGUCAUUUUUAAUCACAUAAGCAGACAAUAAAUCUAAUUUUGAUAUUGAUUAUUUUCCAGAAUCCAGUGAUUUUUUGUAGUGGCUGUUGUGUUUCCUUUCUGAAGAACGGCUGUUUUCUUGUAGACAGUGUGGCAAUGGGGCUGCCUUUAUGCAGGCUGGUGCUUUUCUGAAACACGUUGUGGACUUUGAAGCCAGAUAGCUGACAAGGGAUUCUUCCUGAGUGGCAGGAAGUUUGGAUUUUGUCUGAGACAGUGAUUUGAAUGGGCCGCCCCGGUGCCCUAGACUAGAUGUAAGGCUUUGACGGUGCUUUUAGGGGUUACAGCAUUUGAGAUUGACAGGUUUAAGUUUUUCUCAAAAUAAAAUCAAAUAAAUAAAAAUAAAAACAACCCCCAAAUCUUGCUGAUGUCAGGGGCCCAGAUGGCACCAUGGGAAUAUUACUUAGCAAGAGGAAUGCAUCCUCCACGGAUGUCAGAAACGUACCAGGCUCAGGAAAGGGGCAGGACCCUGCACGGGGUAAGGACUGAAGCCUAGCUGAGAAACAUUAGGAAAGGCCAGUUACUGGGAAAAGGUCCCAGGAGCUUAGGUACCGCCUCUGCAUCCUGAGGCUUACCUGGCGCUCUCCUUUCUUUCUCCUUUUUUUCAGGAACAGGAUUAGUUUGUUGUGUCAAAUGGACUGGCACCUUUCAUAUGAAAGUCUGGAGGUGCAGAGACCUGCACGAGGCUCCCCUGUGGAGAAGGAGGGAGGGGAUGAGAGAAGAAAGCUAGGGAGAAGGAAAGAAUAAGAUAGGGGUGGAGAAAAAGAAAGAAAAAAGGAGGGAGAGGGGAAAGAGAGAAGAAAAUAAGAAAGGAGUGGUAGAGAAGGAAGAAAGGAAUGGAGGGAGGGAACCAAGGAGAGAGAAAGGAAAGCAGGUAGGAAAAGGAAGAGAGAGAAAGGAAGACUGGAGGGAGAGAAGGAAGAAAAACAGAUCUUAAAAGACCUAAUAAAAAAACACAAAAUUACCAGGUCUUUUCUAGGAAAUUGUAAUUGCCCUGGUGGACCACCUGGGCCUUUGCGUGCAGUACCAGACGGCCUCUCCUCCCUUCUGAGGCACAGAACAAAUGACAGCCCGGGCGUAAAUUAAAAGCCCCUCAACUUCCCACACCAAUCCGAAAGACUGAACUCAGGGCACCCCGGACCAUACCGCCAGGCCGGGACACCACCGGCUACCCUAGCAUUGCCGCACCGCCCCCAUCCCACCG
ensembl:lncRNA